rnacentral:rRNA from 1 species
AACGAACGCUGGCGGCAUGCCUAACACAUGCAAGUCGAACGAGACCUUCGGGUCUAGUGGCGCACGGGUGCGUAACGCGUGGGAACCUGCCCUUAGGUUCGGAAUAACUCCCCGAAAGGGGUGCUAAUACCGGAUAAUGUCUUCGGACCAAAGAUUUCUCGCCUUUGGAUGGGCCCGCGUUGGAUUAGCCAGUUGGUAGGGUAAAAGCCUACCAAGGCGACGAUCCAUAGCUGGUCUGAGAGGAUGAUCAGCCACACUGGGACUGAGACACGGCCCAGACUCCUACGGGAGGCAGCAGUGGGGAAUAUUGGACAAGGGGCGAAAGCCUGAUCCAGCAAUGCCGGGUGAGUGAUGAAGGCCUUAGGGUUGUAAAGCUCUUUUACCCGAGAUGAUAAUGACAGUACCGGGAGAAUAAGCUCCGGCUAACUCCGUG